rnacentral:rRNA from 1 species
UUUGUGUUUGAUCCUGGCUCAGAACGAACGCUGGCGGCACGUUUUAAGCAUGCAAGUCGAACGGUAGGAUAGUGCUUGCACUAUCUGAGAGUGGCGAACGGGUGAGUAACGCGUAGAUGAUCUGCCUUUCGGUUGGGGAUAGCCCAUGGAAACAUGGGGUAAUACCGAAUAAGAUCCUUUUGCUUUGGCGAGAGGAUGAAAGGGGCUUCGGCCUCGCCGAGGGAUGAGUCUGCGUAUGAUUAGCUAGUUGGUGGGGUAAAGGCCUACCAAGGCGACGAUCAUUAGCCGGCCUGAGAGGGUGACCGGCCACAUUGGGACUGAGACACGGCCCAGACUCCUACGGGAGGCAGCAGCUAAGAAUCUUCCGCAAUGGGCGAAAGCCUGACGGAGCGAUGCCGCGUGGAUGAAGAAGGCGGAGACGUUGUAAAAUCCUUUUCUCACAGAAGAAUAAUGCUCAGAGGUAAUGCUGGGCAGAUGACGUUAUGUGAGGAAUAAGCACCGGCCAAUUACGUGCCAGCAGCCGCGGUAACACGUAAGGUGCGAGCGUUGUUCGGAAUUAUUGGGCGUAAAGGG